UAUGCAAUGGUGUCCGAGUUUAGAAGC
rnacentral:piRNA from 1 species